rnacentral:tmRNA from 1 species
GGGGCUGACCGGUUUUGACAGCGGGCAGGGUCUUGAUGUAAGCAUGCAGAGCAUUGUGUGGGCGCUCUUUAAUAUGAACACUCGAAAAUUAAUUGGCAACAAUAGCCUUAGACUCGCUGCGUAAGUUUUACAGAGUAAAACUCCUUAAUCGGAUGACUCAAGGAUAGUCGUUCGACGAGUAUUCCGCCGGAAACCCCGCCUUGUGGUGUCUGGUUUACGGAAUAUCAUCAAACAGGGCUGGCCAUGGCGACGUCUCUAAGCCGUGGCGAGAUAUCAGAGACUAAGGCGAAAGGUGGUGCGUCUUUGACCGAACCAUUGGCCCGACAACUCAACAAAGACUAAGCAUGUAGAAAGCUUCCGGGUUCCCCGUUUGGACGAGAGUUCGAUUCUCUCCAGCUCCACAA